rnacentral:pre_miRNA from 1 species
UUUUCAGUAUAAGUAUGUCCCAUGCAACAUUUGGGUUAUACUUACACUAAAA